CGAUAUAAUUGUUGAGAUUAAGGACGAAUUUAUAAGUAUGAGACGACCCAGAAAGCACUUAAUCAUGAUAAACUUUUUAAGCUUACGUGGGUGU
rnacentral:misc_RNA from 1 species